rnacentral:piRNA from 1 species
UGGUCAAUUGGGUGUUUAGGCUAUUUACAAU